GACGAACGCUGGCGGCAUGCCUAAUACAUGCAAGUCGAGCGAACAGAUGAAGUGCUUGCACUUCUGACGUUAGCGGCGAACGGGUGAGUAACACGUAAGGAAUCUACCUAUAAGCGGGGGAUAACAUUCGGAAACGGGUGCUAAUACCGCAUAAUAUCUUCUUCCGCAUGGAAGAAGAUUGAAAGACGGCUCUGCUGUCACUUAUAGAUGACCUUGCGGUGCAUUAGUUAGUUGGUGGGGUAAUGGCCUACCAAGACGAUGAUGCAUAGCCGGCCUGAGAGGGUGAUCGGCCACAUUGGGACUGGGACACGGCCCAAACUCCUACGGGAGGCAACAGUAGGGAAUCUUCCGCAAUGGGCGAAAGCCUGACGGAGCAAUGCCGCGUGAGUGAAGAAGGCCUUCGGGUCGUAAAACUCUGUUAUAAGAGAAGAACAAAUUGUAGAGUAACUGCUACAGUCUUGACGGUAUCUUAUCAGAAAGCCACGGCUAACUACGUGCCAGCAGCCGCCGUAA
rnacentral:rRNA from 1 species